rnacentral:rRNA from 1 species
UACAGAGGUCUCAAGCGUUGUUCGGAAUCACUGGGCGUAAAGGGUGCGUAGGCCGCACGGUAAGUCAGAGGUGAAAUCCCGGAGCUCAACUCCGGAAUGGCCUCCGAUACUGCCGUGCUCGAGGACUGGAGAGGAGUCUGGAAUUCACAGUGGAGCAGUGAAAUGCGUAGAUAUUGUGAGGAACACUAGUGGCGAAGGCGAGACUCUGGACAGUUCCUGACGCUGAGGCACGAAGGCCAGGGGGGCAAACGGG